rnacentral:pre_miRNA from 1 species
CUUAUACUCCCUCCGUCCGAAAAUACUUGUCAUCAAAAUGGAUUAAAAGAGAUGUAUCUAGAAUUAAAAUACAUCUAGAUACAUCCCCUUUUUUCCAUUCUGAUGACAAGUAUUUCCGGACGGAGGGAGUAUUUG